AAUCAACGCUGGCGGCGUGCCUAACACAUGCAAGUCGAACGCGAAAGCCCCGCAAGGGGUAAGUAGAGUGGCAAACGGGUGAGUAACACGUGGGUGACCUGCCUUCGAGUGGGGGAUAACGUCCCGAAAGGGACGCUAAUACCGCAUGACAUCCUGCCUUUGGACAGGCGGAGAUCAAAGCUGGGGAUCGCAAGACCUGGCGCUUGAAGAGGGGCCCGCGCCUGAUUAGCUAGUUGGUGAGGUAACGGCUCACCAAGGCAACGAUCAGUAUCCGGCCUGAGAGGGCGGACGGACACACUGGGACUGAGACACGGCCCAGACUCCUACGGGUGGCAG
rnacentral:rRNA from 1 species